GCCUCGAGAGCUCAUUAUCUCCCUCGAGAUUUAACACAGCGCUGGAGGUGAAUCACAGCUUGCAAGUCAGGACGCCGAGUGACACGUCCUCUGCUGCUUCGUGAGGACACAACGCCUACUCAUAUAUUCAUGUGAGAAAUUAGAUGAUAUGAGAUGGGACCCUGACAGGUGUUCCACUCUGGGUUGAAGUGGACCUGUGAGCAAUAUUGGCUAAGAGGUGGAUCCAUACUCCUCAGGACUAGAACCUCACAACCGCAUGGAGUUUAUACUCAUACGCAGGGUAUACAAAAAGGAUGGAACAAAGGUCUCACCAGACACCUGCAUAGAAAACGCGCCACCGGAAAGAAAACGCGGCUACCACCCUCCUUUUUGCUGUUUUAUUCUAUUUGUUUCUGUUUUUG